AAAAGCCAGCACCCGGCUGGCUAAAGUAAUACUGGAAGCAAUGUGAGCAAUGUCGUGCUUUCAGGCUUUCCGCAAGGGUCUCCCUGAAUGC
rnacentral:antisense_RNA from 2 species